GCAUAUCAAUAAGCGGAGGAAAAGAAACCAACAGGGAUUGCCUCAGUAACGGCGAGUGAAGCGGCAAAAGCUCAAAUUUGAAAUCCUCCGGGAAUUGUAAUUUGAAGGUUAGUUAAAAUAGGGUCCAAAUACUUUAAGUCCAUUGGAAAAUGGCGCCAUGGAGGGUGAUAGCCCCGUAAAAGUAUUAAGCCCUUCUUUUUUUUCUAUCCAAAGAGUCGAGUUGUUUGGGAAUGCAGCUCUAAGUGGGUGGUAAAUUCCAUCUAAAGCUAAAUAUUGGCGAGAGACCGAUAGCGAACAAGUACAGUGAUGGAAAGAUGAAAAGCACUUUGAAAAGAGAGUGAAAAAGUACGUGAAAUUGUUGAAAGGGAAGGGCUUGCAAGCAGACACAACCUCGGUUGGGCCAGCAUCGGAGUGGGGGGAGACAAAAACGAAAAGGAAUGUAACUCAUUGAGUAUUAUAUCCUUCUCUUAUAUCUCCACCCCCUUCCGAGGCCUGCGAUUCUUCAAGGAUGCUGGCGUAAUGGUUGCAAGUCGCCCGUCUUGAAACACGGACC
rnacentral:rRNA from 2 species